AUUUUGGGGUGUCACAGUGUGUCUAUCAGAUUUCAAGGUGUCUGUCAGAUUUCGGGGUAUUACAGUGUGUCUAUCAGAUAUUGGGAUGUCUGUCAGAUUUCGGGGUGUUACAGUGUGUCUAUCAGAUAUUGGGAUGUCUGUCAGAUUUCGGGGUGUUACAGUGUGUCUAUCAGAUAUUGGGAUGUCUGUCAGAUUUUGGGGUGUUACAUUGUCUCUAUCAGAUAUUGGGAUGUCUGUCAGAUUUCGGGGUGUUACAGUGUGUCUAUCAGAUUUUGGGGUGUCACAGUGUGUCUAUCAGAUUUCAAGGUGUCUGUCAGAUUUGGGGGUGUUACAGUGUGUCUAUUAGAUAUUGCGAUGUCUUUC